rnacentral:piRNA from 1 species
UGCACCUCGCUCCCGUCCUAGAAUUGGC